UACGGGGGAGCAAGCGUUGUUCGGAUUUACUGGGCGUAAAGGGUGCGUAGGCGGCCACCGCAAGUCGACUGUGAAAUCUCCGGGCUUAACCCGGAAAGGUCAGCCGAUACUGCGGGCUAGAGUGCAGAAGGGCAACUGGAAUUCUCGGUGUAGCGGUGAAAUGCGUAGAUAUUGGGAGGAACACCAGUGGCGAAGGCGGCUCACUGGCUCGACACUGACGCUGAGGUGCGAAAGCGUGGGGAGCAAACAGG
rnacentral:rRNA from 1 species